ensembl:miRNA
CAAAAAGUUCAUUUGGAUUUUCCAUAAGACGUUCUUGGGAAAACCCAGACGAACUUUUUGGC